GGGCUUGUAGCUCAGUUGGUUUAGAGCGCAGGACCGAUAAUCCUGAGGUCGUAGGUUCAAACCCUACCGUGCCC
rnacentral:tRNA from 1 species